rfam:Severe acute respiratory syndrome coronavirus 2 isolate SARS-CoV-2/WA8-TW5/human/2020/TSA, partial genome
UCGUCUAUCUUCUGCAGGCUGCUUACGGUUUCGUCCGUGUUGCAGCCGAUCAUCAGCACAUCUAGGUUUCGUCCGGGUGUGACCGAAAGGUAAGAUGGAGAGCCUUGUCCCUGGUUUCAACGAGAAAA